GCCUUUGUGGUGUAGUGGUCAGCGCCCUCGACGCAUAACUGAGAGAUCCGUGGUUCGAUUCCCGGCGAAAGCG
rnacentral:tRNA from 1 species